UUUGGCAUUUCAAGUAAGAUUUGGAUUAUACUCCGAGGAUCAACAUGACACCAUCAUGCAAGAACUGAUGUCCAUCUUUUGUGCUAGGCAUAAUAAGUACAUUGAUUACCUGUCCAAAGUUCUUUUGCCUGAAACAUUUGUAUUAAUUUACCAAGAAGUGUUUGGAGGGAACCAUGAUGAGGUUGAAAGGAAACUGAUGGGCAUUGACAAGAAUGAAAAAGAUAACUCUGUCACAGAUGCAAGCUUAUUAUCAGAGUAAUUAACAUUAACUAAAGAGUAUAUUUUUGUAUUAUAACACAUUGAUUAUAUUUUAUUGGAAAUAUAAUUGCAAAUAUGUUGAAUAGGAAAGAAUUAUAAUAUAUUUGUGUACAAAAUUGAAUAAAAGUAUAUAUUCUCUGUUUACUUGAAUAAAUAGUAUCAAAUAAAUAUUAUUACU